rnacentral:ncRNA from 2 species
AGAAAUAACUAGGGGAGUCCAAUGAGUUGGGCUGAGAGGGAAACGCAGUGAGGUUUCUUGACCCUUUGGACCCGAUCUAGAUAAUGCUAGCGUGGGGAAGUUAGGAAAAUCAAGU